AAUGUCAUAACAUAAAUAAAGGCAAAAUAAAAAAAAAUCACAUUGUUUUGUAAGAGCUCAUUUUUCAAUUUACACGAUUUUUCAUUGUUAUUCCCUGUUC
rnacentral:ribozyme from 14 species